GGCAAGAUGGCCGAGUGGUUAAGGCGGCAGGCUCAAGAUUUUGGCGUCCCUCUUAGGGAUUUGUCCAUCUUACCAUUCUUAUCCCGUUCAACGGGAGGAAAUUCUGCUGGAGUUAUCCGCGUGGGUUCGAAUCCCACUCUUGUCA
rnacentral:tRNA from 1 species